CUUUCCUUGAUCAAGUUCAAGCUCGGGCCCCUCGGCGCGCUGCCCACCCUCGGCCCCCCCGUUCCCCUCCCCCUCCCCACAUUCCGUACCAUCUCGCCUCUCUGCACUCUUCCUUUGUCUCUUGCCCACCACUUAGUUUACACCCUCCCUCGCUCCCCGUCCUCCGCCCCGGCGGGCGCCGGGGACUCCGGGAUGCGUCCACCUGUCCGACCAAACAUUUCAGCGAUCGCGAGCGCUCGCCGCGGACUCUCUCGGCGCCCUCCCCGCCACCCCCCUCUCCGCCCGCCGGUCAUUGUGCUCCUCUAGACCACGGGGUACCGGCUCCUCGCGGCGCGCGAGCUCCAGUUGUAAAGUAAUAGGAUGACACCAAGAAUGCCGCUCCAUCCCAGACCUGGGUGCGUGCGGUCCGCGGAGCCCCAGCGUCGGCGAGAGGGAAGACCCAUGCGGCUCGGGGCCGCCGUCCUCCGCACGCACAGACCUCGUCCGCCCGGGGUGCAGAAGACCGCGCGGGGCGCCGCGGGGUGGGGGGUGGCGGACCCCGGACCUGCAAGCCAGCCCAGACUCCGCCUAGAACACAACUCGCUCGCCCCCAAACAGCACAGUUAGACCCCAACAGAGAAGACGGGUCAAGGGCAGAUGCCCCCCCUCCUCAGAUUCACCACCUCCGCGACAACGGAUCAGCCUUCAGAAAAAGCUUGGGCUCUAACAGCGGGGAGGAGCUGCCCUCGUGGAAUUCUGUGAGCAAAUGGUCAAACAAAACAAAACAAAAAUACCAACAACGAUCCCACCUCCUUCCUGGUCCCUCUAGUCGCAUCCGAAAAAGAAGGGCAAUUUCUCCCGACUUUACGCUACAACUCAUUCACAGUGGAACCAGCAAAGAAGAAAAAAAAAAAAAAAAGCCAAGACAGCCAUCUCGAUUGUUUGCAAUUUUGAAACAGACUGCCUUUAACCCUCCAACUUUUUUUCUCUAAAAGCCUUUUUCUUUCUUUCACUGAAAGCUUUGCAUUGUGAACAAUCCGAGGUAGACAAGGCUCCCUCUACAGGUGUGAGUUGGAAGUGCACCACCACAGGGUCAGAGAGCUCAGUCUUCGCCCAUUAGGAAAAUAAAAAGAUGGCAACACAUCAAAUUAAAGGCACGCAGAGCAGACCUCCUUCCACGCACUCAAAAGGUUUUUCAGUCCAUAUAGAACUUACACUGUCUUUUUAAAAGAGGGUCUACGCACGUUAUUCAUUAGCACCUUUUCUCGGUGAAAUCGAAUGUUUUCAAACCAAGGCACCCUUCCGGGUUUCUCUAAUACAUCUUUACUUCUCAUCCUUCGUGGUGGGGGAUGGUUUGGAGGCUGCAGCACCCAUGUCCACAUCCACAUGUACUGGUGCCCAACGAUGACUUUUAGAAUUUUAAUUAGAGGCCGGGACUCUUAAGUUCAUCCAGGGAAACUUGGGCGUUUCCAACAUGGGGAAAUGCCCUUCCUCACUCUGAAAAGGAGAUAAUUCAGGCCCCGGAUUUCCCAUCUCUUCCCACCACAUUUCUAGAGACCUUUGACUUCUCCUGGCCUGAGUCACUAUCUCACAGCAGUGGUGGACAUCUGGGCUUGAAAUAUAAAGCCAAAUCCAACUGCAGUUCAAAGGUGGAAUUGAACCCAGAUAACCCAGCUCUUCCCUGACUAAUAAAAGAGAGCCAGUACUGCCCAGGAGAGCAGAACAGUGAUUUUCUCUAGGCAUGAAAUGUGAACUCAUUUACCAUCCCUGAGAUAAAACAGCCUCAGCCCCACUCAACCCACAGAAAGCAGUUGGGAGCCCUAGAGAAACCUGGCCCUUGAGCAGCAAUGGAAAUUAGGCUGAGGGGCAAAAGGGACUCUCUCUGAAGGUUGCUGUGAGGCUCAAAUACAGAGCUGCCUGCAGGGGGUGUCACUGGCGCCUGCACAGAACACUUGCCCAACCUUAGUUAUCAACACUGUGGGUGACAGUGUGAAAGCCCGUGAGUUCCCUGAGAGGACGCUCCUUAACCAUCUUUCACUGCUGUAUCUUCCAUGCUCAGAACAGUGUCCAGAACAUAGUAGGAACUUCAGUGAUUUUGGAAGGAAGGAAGGAAGGAAGGAAGGAAGGAAGGAAGGAAGGAAGGAAGGAAGGAAGGAAGAAUAAAAUUUAAAGCUGUAUAAACACUGGGUCACAGGGAGGGCACGGGUCUGGUGGGUUGUGAGCAGAAGCCAUGGGCCUCUGUCUCCCCUGUCUGAGUGGCGGUGGGGGAGCUACCGGCUGCCCAGGGUCCACGCCUGAUCACCCUGAGCGAAACAAAGCAGCCAGCACAAAUUCACACUGCAGCACUGUGCCAUCCCUCAAAAAAAAAAAAAAAAAA